rnacentral:lncRNA from 1 species
UAUGAGUUCCUCUGUCUUUUCAAUUUCUUUUUUAAAAUUAUGUGUGACUUAUGUGUGCCCAUGCACACAAGCUUUGAGGAGAGGUGGUGCAAAGGUCUUUCAUGAGGACCAUGAUGGUUUUGAGUUCUAACUAGAAGACAACGUGGAAAAAAAUAUCUGAGGAUAGAUUACCUUGGAAAAAGCGUGCUUCAUCAUAAAACAUUUGCCAGUAGAUUUCUAUUUCUCCUCCUACCCUAUCCAUCUUUUACAUGUGGAUUAUUUGUAAGAGAGAUAAUUUGACCACUUUUAUUCUUAAACGAUUGGGUAAAAACAUUUCUGCAUCAAAUCUCACAUUAUGUCUCACCAACUCGUCUUGUUCUGUUCUUGGAAGAGUUAGUAAGUCUAAUAUGUUGAGUAGGAUGGAUACCACAUAAACGAGUUUAUGACUUGAGACCACACAAUGAGCUUCUGUUAGAGUUUGGCUGAAAAUCCAAGUCUAUGCAUUUCUAGCUCAAUGUUCUGCCCAUACUGUCAGUCUAAUGUGUCCUCGAUAGAUUUAUUUUUUAUUUAUUAAGGAAAGUCAAGUCCUGGUUUCUCUCAGCAUUUUUAAUUAAGGAAGAAGGUCCAGAAAUGUGGAUUUCCCUCUUCCAUUAUUUUCUUUCUCCAGUUUAACUUUUUUCCCAACCUCCAUUUUAGCUCGUUUUAAAAAUUAAUCUGGCCAACCUUUCUUCUUGCCCGCGCCGGGCUCACCAGGGACGUGACCACUGAUUACCGGCUGACCCUCCGCCAUUUAGUAUUUUGCACUGUCGGCUCUCCCUGCUGAGCCAGAAAGCCCGGACCAGAUUGGGAAGGAACACGUGAGCAGUUGUCCUUUGUUCUUCUCUUGGCUCCUCGCUCCGGCCAUGUGUUCUAGUCAGGACUUCCAAUUAGGAUGCCUGAAAGAAACGAGCAGACUGGCGAUGCCAUGUCCUCCUCUGCCGCCAGCAGGACUGGGGGUGGCAGAAUAUGCUGCCCGAAAAUUCAUCGGGAAAGAUUUGCUUCCAAGGAAAGAAAAUGCGACAUUUUAGCCUGCAGGAAAGAAACAAGAAUGACCAUUUCAAGUUAAUUUCAUCCUGAAGGGACGUGAUAAAGGAUGAUUGAUUCUUUCAGUUUCAUGCUUUUUGGUACCAUUUCAAAAUUUAAUACAUACUGAAUGAAAAUUGAUUAUAGCACAUUUUGAUAGUUCAACCAAUUUUUUGUUCCCUUUGAGUGUGUGUGUGUGUGUGUGAGAGAGAGAGAGCGAGAGAGAGAAAGAGAGAGGAUGAAAGGGUGAAAGAAUGUGUGAGUGUAAGCAUGUGCCCAUGGACUUUGAGGUUAUUUAAGGGGACAGUCUGUUUAAAAAAAAAAUGCAAAGACCAAAUAGAAUAAAUAGAUUUCCAAGAAUGUCUCA